rnacentral:rRNA from 1 species
GUUCAUGGCUCAGGAUGAACGCUAGCUACAGGCUUAACACAUGCAAGUCGAGGGGCAUCAGUUUGGUUUGCUUGCAAACCAAAGCUGGCGACCGGCGCACGGGUGAGUAACACGUAUCCAACCUGCCUCAUACUCGGGGAUAGCCUUUCGAAAGAAAGAUUAAUAUCCGAUAGCAUAUAUUUCACGCAUGGGUUUAUAUUAAAGAAAUUCGGUAUGAGAUGGGGAUGCGUUCCAUUAGUUUGGG